GACGAACGCUGGCGGCGUGCCUAAUACAUGCAAGUCGAACGCUUCUUUUUCACCGAGUGCUUGCACUCACCGAAAAAGAGGAGUGGCGGACGGGUGAGUAACACGUGGGUAACCUGCCCAUCAGAAGGGGAUAACACUUGGAAACAGGUGCUAAUACCGUAUAACAAUAGGAACCGCAUGGUUCCAAUUUGAAAGACGCUUUCGGGUGUCGCUGAUGGAUGGACCCGCGGUGCAUUAGCUAGUUGGUGAGGUAACGGCUCACCAAGGCCACGAUGCAUAGCCGACCUGAGAGGGUGAUCGGCCACACUGGGACUGAGACACGGCCCAGACUCCUACGGGAGGCAGCAGUAGGGAAUCUUCGGCAAUGGACGAAAGUCUGACCGAGCAACGCCGCGUGAGUGAAGAAGGUUUUCGGAUCGUAAAACUCUGUUGUUAGAGAAGAACAAGCGAGAGAGUAACUGCUCUUGCCCUGACGGUAUCUAACCAGAAAGCCACGGCUAACUACGUGCCAGCCGCCGCCGUAAUAC
rnacentral:rRNA from 1 species